UAGAGAAAAGCUGUUUAUUUACCCUCCCUGAUGAGAGGGUGUGCCCAGAUUGAGAUUUUUGCUCCAUUGCACUGUCUUUGUUUGUUAAUUUGUGCCGUUUGUUUUUUUAUUAUCAAAACUGCAAAAAAAACCUGUUCCACCACCACAGGCAGAGGAAAGCCACUGAACUGAGCUUUACAGAGUGCUGGAAAACUACUGAGGUGCAGUGUGUGAGCAUGGCCACCUUUCAUUCCCACCAGGCUGACCUCCUUCCUUCAGUCCCUGAGCAGACCCUUAUGAGAACAGAAACCAGCCCAAACUUGUUUCUGUUCUUACAAGUUUUAAUCACAAUCCUCUUUUAUUGUCAGGUGGAAUAAUGUUAGAUGGUGAGAGCUGUGAUUUACGUGUAUUUUUAUACGAAACUGCUAAUCUGGUCAUCUUUCCAGUUGCCUGCUCAAGGUGGAUUGCAAAUCCCAUCAUCACAGAAGACCUUGCCUGGGUAAGGUGGUAACAUCCUCCAGGAAUUAUCAGUCAGCUCUGCUUCAAAGCAUGAGAUCAACAUAAGACCAGUGCAAAUGGAGUUCUUUACCUUCUACUUCCAAUCUUGAGGUAACAUCCAGGUGAAGUGUCAUGUUUCCACUGUCAUCUGGAGCACCUGAAACCAUCCUUAAAUAUGCGGACUGCUGUGGAGUCUCACAAUAUCCUGCAGAUUCAGGACUGGAAAAGACAACAAAAAAAUUGUCUGGUCUUUAACUUAGAAAGGCUAGGAAGAUGAGAAAGGCUUGACUCCCACCUUAAAAUCUGGCAUGGGACUGGGGAAAUAAAUAACUGGUCCUAUCCCAGGAGUGACUGGCUGGGAAAGCUGAGGAUGUGAGCUGGGAUGUAAAGUCUACAGGAGAGCUGUGUACAUUUCCUAGGCACACUGAGAGGAAGGAGUGCUAUGGCUCUGCCCUUCUGGCACACAGUUGUGUUGCCCACCCUAGUUGGGCUUAGUGGGAGGGGAAGGGUGGAGAAGCAGAUCUGCCUUGCAUGCUGGGAUCUACACAAAAAAGCAGUGCCAAAACUUGACAGAGAAAGUCUGUGCUGCUUCAAACUCAUGUGGGCAGGAGUUUGUCUGAUAUUCAGAAAGUGCAAUUUUAAGUUGAGCUUUCUCUGCUAUGCUAUUAACAGUAUGGAGUAUCUGCUUGUGAUUUGGUAUGGUUUUGACGCAUUUAUGAAACGGUUAAACCUAAUUUCAGUGUGUCAAAGAGGUGAGAAUGUGAUUUGAUAGAGAACAGUAUUAGUAAAACAGUCCUUCAGUUUUUAAUUGGGUACUCUGUGAAUUCAGUUUUAGGACAUGCAUUAUGCAGACACAAAAAUAGGACUUUCAAAUGAAGUGGGAUUUUAAGUGUAUUAUUACCUGAUUUGCAUUUAAAUUAGUGGAAUGCUGUUUGGGAUAUUCUGUAGAGAGCCACUGCUUCCUCUCCUUCAUCCCAGACAAACAUCUUUGAAAAACCAGGCCCUGCAUGCACUUCAGUCCUUGGCUAGGACACAACUGUGGGGAGAUCGCAAAGGCUGUGAGCUCUAUCAGAACAAAUCACUCAAUAAAGCUUAACUGCAGUUUUACAUGGAAA